ACGAACGCUGGCGGCAGGCUCAACACAUGCAAGUCGAGCGCUACCUUCGGGUGGAGCGGCGGACGGGUUAGUAACGCGUGGGAAUAUACCCAGUUGUAAGGAAUAGCCACUGGAAACGGUGAGUAAUACCUUAUACGCCCUUCGGGGGAAAGAUUUAUCGGAAUUGGAUUAGCCCGCGUUAGAUUAGAUAGUUGGUGGGGUAAUGGCCUACCAAGUUUACGAUCUAUAGCUGGUUUGAGAGGAUGAUCAGCAACACUGGGACUGAGACACGGCCCAGACUCCUACGGGAGGCAGCAGUGGGGAAUCUUAGACAAUGGGCGCAAGCCUGAUCUAGCCAUGCCGCGUGAGUGAUGAAGCCCCUAGGGUCGUAAAGCUCUUUCAACUGUGAAGAUAAUGACGGUAGCAGUAGAAGAAACCCCGGCUAACUCCGUGCCAGCAGCCGCGGUAAUACGGAGGGGGUUAGCGUUGUUCGGAAUUACUGGGCGUAAAGCGUACGUAGGCGGAUUAAUAAGUUAGAGGUGAAAUCCCAGGGCUCAACCCUGGAACUGCCUUUAAAACUGUUAGUCUUGAGAUCGAGAGAGGUGAGUGGAAUUCCAAGUGUAGAGGUGAAAUUCGUAGAUAUUCGGAGGAACACCAGUGGCGAAGGCGGCUCACUGGCUCGAUACUGACGCUGA
rnacentral:rRNA from 1 species